rnacentral:lncRNA from 1 species
AAACUUCUGGCACCAAGGGAGAUCUUUAGACACGAAGGGACCGGUUGGCGGCAUGUGAGUCUUCAUCCAUAUGUGCAAUAUUGGAGCACAACAUAGGAAAGUUCCAUCUUUCUUCUUGUGGAUUCUAAGUGUUGGCAGCAAUUUUGGUAAAACAAAGAGUGUUCACAAGAUGUUAUGUGUGAUGUCUUAACAUGAGAUAUCC